UACGAAGGGGGCUAGCGUUGUUCGGAUUUACUGGGCGUAAAGGGCGCGUAGGCGGCCCUGUCAGUCGGGUGUGAAAGCCCGGGGCUCAACCCCGGAACGGCACCCGAGACGGCAGGGCUGGAGACCGGGAGAGGAGGGUGGAAUAGCCAGUGUAGAGGUGAAAUUCGUAGAUAUUGGCUGGAACACCGGUGGCGAAAGCGGCUCUCUGGCCCGGUUCUGACGCUGAGGCGCGAAAGCGUGGGGAGCAAACAGG
rnacentral:rRNA from 1 species